rnacentral:rRNA from 1 species
GACGAACGCUGGCGGCGUGCCUAAUACAUGCAAGUAGAACGCACAGUUUAUACCGUAGCUUGCUACACCAUAAACUGUGAGUUGCGAACGGGUGAGUAACGCGUAGGUAACCUGCCUGGUAGCGGGGGAUAACUAUUGGAAACGAUAGCUAAUACCGCAUAAUAUUGAUUAUUGCAUGAUAAUUAAUUGAAAGGUGCAAUUGCAUCACUACCAGAUGGACCUGCGUUGUAUUAGCUAGUAGGUGAGGUAACGGCUCACCUAGGCGACGAUACAUAGCCGACCUGAGAGGGUGAUCGGCCACACUGGGACUGAGACACGGCCCAGACUCCUACGGGAGGCAGCAGUAGGGAAUCUUCGGCAAUGGACGAAAGUCUGAACGAGCAACGCCGCGUGAGUGAAGAAGGUUUUCGGAUCGUAAAGAUCUGUUGUAAGAGAAGAACGGGUGUGAGAGUGGAAAGUUCACACUGUGACGGUAUCUUACCAGAAAGGGACGGCUAACUACGUG